GACGUAGGUGGCGAACGUUAUCCGGAAUUAUUGGGCGUAAAGGAUGCGUAGAUGGUGUAGUAAGUUAUCGGUGGCAAAUCGAGGCUCAACCUCGUGGAAGUCGGUAAUACUGCUAUGCUAGAGGAUAGGAGAGGUUAACGGAACUCCCUGUGGAGCGGUGAAAUGCGUAGAUAUAGGGAAGAACACCCGUGGCGAAGGCGGCACUCUGGGACGGUACUGACGCUGAGACGCGAAAGCGUGGGGAGCGAACAGG
rnacentral:rRNA from 1 species